rnacentral:lncRNA from 1 species
UUUAGAAUUGAAAAGUAAUUGUGAACUUUAUUCAAAGAGUAGAAAUUUGAGAAGCGAUAUUGUAAAGUUCAGAUCUAUUCUGCUGAACAAUAUUAUUCAUCUUGAUUUAUAAUAUACAAUUAACAAAAGAAUGGAAAUACAAUAUAUGGAAAUUCUAUACAUGGAAAGUAAUUCGAAAAAUAACCAUAUUCUUUGACAUUCUUCCUUGGUGAUAUGCCAAUCAAAUAUUUUUCUUCCUUCUACGGCGAUCAAAUAAUCAGGAUCUUCUUUCUAUGGUGACCAAUCAAUCAGGAAUUCUAACAGUAAUUUUAGAAGUUAGGCCAAAUAGGAAUAAGACAUCGCACAGAUAUCAUAUAUGUGCAGCAACAUCUUUUGGUUGUAAUCUUUGUGAGAAAAGCUAGAAUUAGAAAGCAUAAAUAUAAAACAUCAGAUCUACGGCGUGCAC